rnacentral:sRNA from 1 species
UCAUCAGAGAGGGCACGCACGCGCAUA